GCCCUCCACGAGAUCCAGUCCCCCGCCACGAGAUCCAGUCCCCGCCACCCGCCACGAGCUCAAACUCAUCAAGUUCUCGCCUUUUCAGGUGCUAGGAGGCAAGUAUCAGAGCAAACUACUUGAAGCUGUAGAUCCAAGUAAUCUGCCAGAAUUUGCACUAGUGUGGUUGUCGAAGAAUCUACAGAACCCCAGAGUGGUGGUUCUAUCGACAUCGGAAGUCCGACAAUAACAGUAGAAGGAUGUCAAGUUUGAACUUCAGGUGAUAUAAUGGCAAGAAAGAGUUUUUAUGUUGUAAAGAGAGGUCGACGUUGUGGCAUUUUUUAUGAUUGGGAUGAAUGCAAAUCUCAAGUUGAUAGAUUCACAAAUGCCUCCUACAAAUGGUAUACGACAUAUGAAGAGGCUUUGAGUGAAUGGGAGAAGCACUUAAGCACGCGUGAUUUAGCAUCCAUCUCAAGGCAUGUGCAACCACCUGUUUGUGUUCAAGAACAAGUGUUUCCAGGGGGCAUAAUCUUCUUGAGGACAAGGGACCACUUGGGGAAACUGCUAUUUCCUCCAUCCAAGCUUUUGUAUUAGGUUCAAUGUUUAUAAUUUUAAUAUUUCUAAUAUGUAUCGUUACAGUAUUUGUUGGUUUCUCUAUUGGGGGAAACAUUUGAUGUGAUUCGUGUAUGAUUUUUCAAUGUGAGAAUAAGCUUGCAUAACUUAUGUCAUUUUGUACUUAGUUUGUUGGUUU